rnacentral:lncRNA from 1 species
CAUACCUUAAGUUUUUAUUGUAAUGAUUCAAAGUGAGGCUAAUGGGUUUUUAUUGUUAGAUUCAAAAACAAAGUUUUUAUUGUUAGAUUCAAAGUGAGGCUAAUGGGACAAGAUUAUUCAGCAGCAGUUUGGAGGAUAUUGUGGCUGAAAGGAAAAUUUCAGAGCACAAACUGUCAAUACGUUUGUCAGGAGUACAUGAAAAGCCACUUCACUGUGACCAGCAUUCAUAUGUAUAAGACAUUGCAAUAUAUUAGCAUACAUGGACAUAUGUGAAAAAUCAAAAGAAUUGCUUCCAAUGUUAUGAGCUAAAGGGAAAAAAG